rnacentral:rRNA from 1 species
CUUGCUGGGGGAUUAGUGGCGAACGGGUGAGUAACACGUGAGUAACCUGCCCUUGACUCUGGGAUAAGCCUGGGAAACUGGGUCUAAUACCGGAUACGACCAUCUGGCGCAUGUCAUGGUGGUGGAAAGCUUUUGUGGUUUUGGAUGGACUCGCGGCCUAUCAGCUUGUUGGUGGGGUAAUGGCCUACCAAGGCGACGACGGGUAGCCGGCCUGAGAGGGUGACCGGCCACACUGGGACUGAGACACGGCCCAGACUCCUACGGGAGGCAGCAGUGGGGAAUAUUGCACAAUGGGCGCAAGCCUGAUGCAGCGACGCCGCGUGAGGGAUGACGGCCUUCGGGUUGUAAACCUCUUUCAGUAGGGAAGAAGCGUAAGUGACGGUACCUGCAGAAGAAGCGCCGGCUAACUACGUGCCAGCAGCCGCGGUAAUACGUAGGGCGCAAGCGUUAUCCGGAAUUAUUGGGCGUAAAGAGCUCGUAGGCGGUUUGUCGCGUCUGCUGUGAAAGACCGGGGCUCAACUCCGGUUCUGCAGUGGGUACGGGCAGACUAGAGUGCAGUAGGGGAGACUGGAAUUCCUGGUGUAGCGGUGAAAUGCGCAGAUAUCAGGAGGAACACCGAUGGCGAAGGCAGGUCUCUGGGCUGUAACUGACGCUGAGGAGCGAAAGCAUGGGGAGCGAACAGGAUUAGAUACCCUGGUAGUCCAUGCCGUAAACGUUGGGCACUAGGUGUGGGGGACAUUCCACGUUUUCCGCGCCGUAGCUAACGCAUUAAGUGCCCCGCCUGGGGAGUACGGCCGCAAGGCUAAAACUCAAAGGAAUUGACGGGGGCCCGCACAAGCGGCGGAGCAUGCGGAUUAAUUCGAUGCAACGCGAAGAACCUUACCAAGGCUUGACAUGAACCGGAAAGACCUGGAAACAGGUGCCCCGCUUGCGGUCGGUUU